UAAAUACUUUAAAAUUAAAAAAUUUGGCGGUGAUUUAAUCUUAUUAGAGGAACUUGUUUCAUAAACGAUAAUCCACGCAGAAUCUUACUCAUCUUUGAUAAAAUAAUCAGUUUGUAUACCGUCAUUAUCAGGUAAUUCUAAAAAGAUUGAAUUUCUACAUCCUAUUGUUUAGAUUAAAUUAGAUCAAGGUGCAGCCUAUAGGUGAGUCGAAAUGAGUUACAAUAAGUUGUCUUACUACGGAAUAGUUGGUGAAAUAAAAUUAAAAAGGAGGAUUUAAUUGUAUCAUAGGUNCACUAAGCCUAUGAGAAAUAAGCUCUAAAUCGUGUACAUAUCGCCCGUCGCUUCCAUUAGUAAUGGAAUAAGUCGUAACAUAGUAGGUGUACUGGAAGGUGCAUCUGGAAUUAAAAA
rnacentral:rRNA from 1 species